GUGGAUUAUCACUUCAACCCGUGACUGCAGCUGCUGGCCUGAGGAAGAGGAUGGGAUCAUGCACAAGAAGCAGGGGUAAGGACCGAACCACCUCAUCUAGCAGUAGCGUACAGGCGGAGAAGCUUAAAGCAGUCAUAAGGCAACAGCCUGAAAACGCACAGAUAACAUCUGCAAGAAGAUAAAUGUGCCACUGAGAAAUGAUUCAAAGGCAGAAGGGGAAGCUGGUGAAGGGAUCUACAGUGCAGCUGGUGAAGAUCGCAGAGCAGAAGCUGGUCGACAUGGCUGUAUAGCAAGCACGUGACCUAGAAGUGCCACAGCAGGGGAAGAUGAAGAGGGAACCAGAUGAGUAAGACUCACAUGCAGCGCACGGGAUUUGGCAGGACUUAGAUCAGUGAUCCACUAUUAGUGUUUUUCCUGCUUGUUAAAUAAAGUAGAAACACUUCUUUACCUUGAGAAUU
rnacentral:lncRNA from 1 species